CCCUUAGAUGUCCUGGGCCGCACGCGCGCUACACUGAUGCAUUCAACGAGUUUUACCUUGGCCGAGAGGCCUGGGCAAUCUUUUAAACCUGCAUCGUGAUAGGGAUAGAUUAUUGCAAUUAUUAAUCUUGAACGAGGAAUUCCUAGUAAACGCAAAUCAUCAAUUUGCAUUGAUUACGUCCCUGCCCUUUGUACACACCGCCCGUCGCACCUACCGAUUGAAUGGUUUAGUGAGGACUCCUGAUUGGCGCCGCCGCCCCGGCAACGGAGCAGCGGACUGCCGAAAAGUUGUUCAAACUUGAUCAUUUAGAGGAAGUAAAAGUCGUAACA
rnacentral:rRNA from 1 species